rnacentral:tRNA from 1 species
GCGACUAUGGUAUAAUGGUUAUUACGCUGCUCUGUGGAAGCGGAAAUACGGGUUCAAUUCCCGUUAGUCGCCCCA